GGGGGGGCGUGGAGCGCCGCUGCCCGCCCGCGAGCCGCACACGUAGCGCCCGCCGCGGGGCUCUGCCUGGCGGGCGGCGCGGCGCCGUUAGCGCGGUUACUGGCCGUGAGCCGCCGCCUCGCGCCGUCCCCCGGGGAGCGGCGGCUGACAGGGCUGCCCCCGGGCCCUCUCGCGGCCCGUCACGGCGCUGAGGCCGGGGGUCACGAGGGACCUGCGGAGCGGCUCCCCUCGCUCCUCGGGGCCCGUGUAAACGCGGCGUGGGGGCGUGGGUCCUCCAGAAGCGCUGACCCAGAAGGCGCUCACAAGGAGAUGGGUCAAGUCGGUGAGACAGCUGGUGCGCUCCUCAAAGAUGGAACUGAGCAUUGUGUAUGGAGGGACAAGAUGUAUCGCCUGCUCCAGGGAGUGGCAUCUGACAGCAUGAGACAGACGUCCUGCAUUCAGCUUCAGUUCCUGGCUCUAGAAAUGCAAAUGGAGAAGAGUCUACACUGAGCAUCUACCAAUUGUGGCCAUUUCUGAAAGUUUAUAAAUUUUUUACCCGUUGAGCAAAAGAGCAGCAUCUCUACCAAUGAGAACAACAAAUAAAAACCAUCUACACACCA
rnacentral:lncRNA from 1 species